rnacentral:rRNA from 1 species
CAGCCGCCACGGUAACACGUAGGGUGCAAGCGUUAAUCGGAAUUACUGGGCGUAAAGCGUGCGCAGGCGGUUAUAUAAGACAGAUGUGAAAUCCCCGGGCUCAACCUGGGAACUGCAUUUGUGACUGUAUAGCUAGAGUACGGCAGAGGGGGAUGGAAUUCCGCGUGUAGCAGUGAAAUGCGUAGAUAUGCGGAGGAACACCGAUGGCGAAGGCAAUCCCCUGGGCCUGUACUGACGCUCAUGCACGAAAGCGUGGGGAGCAAACAGGAUUAGAUACCCGCGUAGUCCCUGUCUCUUAUAC